UCUCUUUGAGAUCUUUGCUAGGAUAUAUACAAAGUAUAUUUCCUAUCUCAAAAUAAUUUCGAACUCAGUUGGCUGGUGCUCCUGGAUAAAAAUUUAUCUUGUUGUAUUUUGAAUAGUGGAGAGUUUUCAUCCACUUUCCAAUCUCCAGAUACCAAUCUGAUAAAAUAUUGAAAAUAACAAUAAAGAGUGUUACUUCUUCAUGGUUAUCUUUUCU
rnacentral:lncRNA from 1 species